ACAUACAAUUUAGUUACAUUUAAUUUAAAUCUAUUUUAUUUCUUCUUUUUCCUGUCUGUCCAUGUGUUCCACUUCAAAGUUCAUCUAUUCAAAUUAAAAGUUCUGUAUAUCACUUUAGUGCUCUUAUAAAUGUCUGCUUCAAACAUGAUGUCUUCACUUCCUGUCUUUGUUCAUGUACCACACCUUCUUUUUGCUAAGUCUGUAAGUUUCCAUUAUAGAAAAAGUCCUGGUUCUUUCUUCUUAAAAUCACCCAAAACAGGAUAGAAAUUUCCAAAAUCCAUUAGUCCAAAAUUAAUUCCAAAGUAGUCAUAAUAAUCCAAAAUAGAAAGCCAAUUGGGAUAUUCCUUUUCCAAGCAGAAAAUAAAAUCUCUUCAAUCCACUUUCCUGUUUAGUCACCGCAGACUUCAUGGCAACUUUGUAACCACCCAUCUGUCAAUCUUCAUUAACUUCAUUAACUUUCACUGGUUUAAAUUCCCAAGAAAUUAUUUCUUCAAACCACUCCAAAAAAUAGAAAUAAAAAGUCCAAUUUUCCAAAUUAUUAAGAACAAGUUUUUCUAAGCCAAUUUAAUUACUGCAAAGUUUGUCUCGGGGCUCCAUUUUUUUUCUCCUUUCUUUUAAAACUUCAAGCCCCACGGAUCUAUAGCCGCUGUUUAAGGCUGGGGUCUUAUUUUUUUUAAAAAAUAUUCCAAGUAAUCUUUAUUGCCUGGGUUGGUGUCACUCACCCGGCUUUGAAACUCUUGCCCUUUCUUCUUCCUCCUGCCCGAUCUUGUGUCCCGAUCUGCCACGGCUUCGUGGCAGCCGCCAUGGCUGCCUACCCCCGCCGCCGACUUUGAGGAUUCCCUCUGGCCUCUGAGGAGCUUGCCUGCUCCUCUUGGCCCACCGAGGCGCUCCUCUUCACCCCCCAUCCCUGCAGGAUGGGGGUCGGUCCGAAGACCGAUCGGACAGCGGUUCGUCAGUCGGGGUUUCCGCGGGCUCGUUAGAGCCCGCUAAUUCCCCGACUGUGGCGCCGCGGCUCCAGACCAGAAGUCCCAGAUUCACAAACAUUUAAGCACUACUAUGUAGGGGAGAAUCCAGUGGUAGGAUUCAAAUAAUUGAACAACUGGUUCACCCAGAGUCAGGUUGACUGUCAUGGGAGGCAUGGCCUAUCCCCGUUCUCCAGUUCUGCCGCACAUGUGGGACAAGUCUUCCACAACAGGCAACCUGGCCCUGGGCGAACCGGUUGUUAAAUUUCCACCCUUUGCCAAAAGGCUGUUUCCCAGGCUUGUUUGCACAUUGGUUUCACCGCUGUUUCAGCUUUCUGGACUGCUCCUUUAAGAGCUGAGGUAUCCAAGGAAUGAGGAGGGAGGGUUACCAUAGAGACAAGGAGUUGAUGCUCCUGAGAGCUCAUGCGGGAAGGUGAAGAAUUGGGAAGUGGAGAGAGGGAUUUCCCCUUCCCCAUGGAGUUGCGUGCAGGGGGUGUUGGUCAGCCUACGAGCAAAAUUGUCCAAAGUUCUGGAAGAACACUCACCUCCCAAAAAUACAUGUUAAAUGCAAGACAGAAGAGCCAAUACUGUUAAUUUCCAUGCAUCUUCCUCUAGAGGAUUCAUUUUCUGGAGAAGUUUCAAGAGACAACAAAGGUGACUCUAGCUUCUGUAUAACAGAGUGGGCCUCUGCAAAUAUAAACUGUUCGAGUCUGUCCUUCAGCUUUCUACUAUUAACAAUGUCUGACCCUGCUUAACUUUUUCAGUCAAGAUCCACCAGCUGUUGCAACCUAAUUAGGCAAAGGUAAAGUUCCUGAAAUAAAUAUGAUGUUACUGAGUUAUGCAUGCAGAUAGACAGGGAAUUUUUUCAUUAUCAUCAUGAACAAGAACAAAAAUUCUGAAUUAAUUCAGGUGUGUCCAACCUACGGCCUGUGUCAUGCAGUGCCACAAGAUAAUAAAAAUAUAAAAAAUAAA